GGAAGUAACCAAGGCAAUCGCCGGCGCAGUACCGAAAGGUCGCGCGGGAGGAAAGUCCGAGCUCCAUAGGGCAGGGUGCUGGGUAAUCCCCAGUGGGAGUGAUCCUAAGGAAAGUGCCACAGACAUGUAGACCGCCGAUGGCGUUCGUUAUGUAGAGCGCACAGGCAAGGAUGCAACGGUGCGGUAAGAGCGCACCAGCGAUGCGAAGACGCAUUGGCUAGGUAAACCCCACCUGGAGCAAGACCGCAUAGGAGUGCAUUGUGGCGGCCCGUCACGCACUCGGGUAGGUUGCUUGAGCGGCGCGGUAACGCGUCGCCUAGAUAGAUGAUUGCCGCCUCAUGCCGUGCGAGGCGAGAGUGGCCUAUAAGGGCGAAACAUCGCCGUUUGCAGCACGCGAGGAACAGAACUCGGCUUAUCGGUUGCUUCUUUCA
rnacentral:RNase_P_RNA from 1 species